rnacentral:rRNA from 1 species
ACUACGGGGGGCAGCAGUGAGGAAUAUUGGUCAAUGGGCGGAAGCCUGAACCAGCCAAGUAGCGUGCAGGAUGACGGCCCUACGGGUUGUAAACUGCUUUUAUACGGGAAUAACGCGCCUUACGUGUAGGGCUUUGCAUGUACCGUAUGAAUAAGGACCGGCUAAUUCCGUGCCAGCAGCCGCGGUAAUACGGAAGGUCCGGGCGUUCUCCGGAUUUAUUGGGUUUAAAGGGAGCGUAGGCCGCAUGUCAAGCGUGCUGUGAAAUGUCCGGGCUCAACCCGGGCCUUGCAGCGCGAACUGGCGUGCUUGAGUCCGCGGACAGCAGGCGGAAUUCGUCGUGUAGCGGUGAGAUGAUUAGAUAUGACGAAGAACCCCGAUUGCGAAGGCAGCUUGCUGCAGCGGAACUGACGCUGAUGCUCGAAAGCGCGGGUAUCGAACAGGAUUAGAUACCCGUGUAGUC